UACCCUGUCCAGCUCCACUCAUUCUCACCUGUCUCCUUUUCAGAAACUGUUCCUCCCCCUUACUCUCUCUACUGAAGCAGAAGGGCACUUCCAGGUUCCCCUCAAAGUGAAUCAAAAACCAAUUCCUACUUCUUAAAGUUGCUCUUGUCCUUCCACUUCGUAGUUCGUCUUCUUUAAAGCUCAGCUUUACUUAAGAUGAGAGAAAUGCUGAAGGUAGAUCUGAUGGCGGUAGCGGUGCUGUUUAGUUGGACUUGUCAUUUGAGGCUCUUAGGAGCAGUUUCAUGGCCUUAGUGUCUUUUUGUAAUUCUUUACUCUAGGAGCAACUCUUUUGCAAAACUGUUAAACCUACCUGAAUUAUAUUUGUUUAUGGUAUUGUAGUAUGCCUAAGUUCAUUUCAAAAUACAUUCAUGGUGGACUG